CAAUUACUCCCUCCGUUCUGAAUUACUUGUCUUAGAUUUGUUUAGAUACGGAGGUAUCUAGCACUAAAAUGAGUCUAGAUACAUUCGUAUCUAGACAAAUCCAAGACAAGUAAUUCGGAACGGAGGGAGUACUAA
rnacentral:pre_miRNA from 1 species